rnacentral:rRNA from 1 species
GACGAACGCUGGCGGCGUGCUUAACACAUGCAAGUCGAACGGAAAGGCCCUGCUUUUGUGGGGUGCUCGAGUGGCGAACGGGUGAGUAACACGUGAGUAACCUGCCCUUGACUUUGGGAUAACUUCAGGAAACUGGGGCUAAUACCGGAUAGGAGCUCCUGCUGCAUGGUGGGGGUUGGAAAGUUUCGGCGGUUGGGGAUGGACUCGCGGCUUAUCAGCUUGUUGGUGGGGUAGUGGCUUACCAAGGCUUUGACGGGUAGCCGGCCUGAGAGGGUGACCGGCCACAUUGGGACUGGGAUACGGCCCAGACUCCUACGGGAGGCAGCGGGGGGGAAUAUUGCACAAUGGGCGGAAGCCUGAUGCAGCAACGCCGCGGGCGGGAUGACGGCCUUCGGGUUGAAAACCGCUUUCGCCUGUGACGAAGCGUGAGUGACGGUAAUGGGUAAAGAAGCACCGGCUAACUACGU